UGUAAUGUAGGUUGUGACUGUAGGGGUUUGUAGUUCUCAUGGGUAUUACUGCUCUAUUUCUCACAGUUAAAAGAAUUUCAACAAAGAAACAGCCCUGCUGUUCCAACACGAGUGAGACGGAGAAACAAAAGAAACAACAAUAGCCCUGAGACAGGCACUUCUGAUGGUUGCCAGUCACCAUGCCAUUCAGCAGCAGGUGGUCCCAAGGAGGGCCCUGCGCCAUGUGCCACCAUGAAUGGUCCAGAGAGCGCACACCAACUACAAAUAGCCCUGGACUCGAGCUCCGUGACAACCAGUGAACUGAAUAACACCAUCGACUUAUUGGUAAGAGUCCAGUGGGACCCCCUGAUUCCACGCUGCCAAUCCUGGGCUCCAGUUUCCCCUUGGGGCUGCUGUGAGUGAGUUGAAGGGUGUUAUGGG
rnacentral:lncRNA from 1 species